GCUCAGUAUAUUAGGACCUGAGAUGUGUUUCCCUUUUUUGGGCUGUGAUCCUCGAGACUCCCCGACACACCUGUGGAGCAUCAGGCAUCAUCAGCCGUCUGGUGUCAAAGUGUUGUCUCACCCACAGCUUGCCUCGUUUUCCCUGGCCACCAAACAGCCUGAGGACCCCUUCCACGCUCAUCAGUUUGCCUUUCUGAGUUCGUCUCCCUCUGGAUAUCCAUCACCAGGUCCACCUGCGCCGCCUCAGCCACCAGCUCCACGCGCUCCUGUCCGAGCCUAUAAAUAAGCGUGUGACAAAGUGCUUGACUGUCUCUGCCAGCUGACCCCACGUUCCCAGUAUCCAAUUGUUUCAAUAUUCUUUCACAGUACAAAAAAAAAAAAAAUCGGUUUCAUUACUUCAAACGUGUCGUUGUGAUCUGCUACCUGGCUCCACCCGAGUUAUUCCUAACAAAAUAGAAGGCACAGUACAACACAUGAUGUGCUUUGUUAUGAACAUGAGUCAUCUCACUUGAAGGUAAAGUCUGAGGAGCUAAAUCAAAAGGGAGCAAACACACCGUAGAGAGCUGAGAGACAAUGAGCACAAGCACCAUCCUGAAAGGAAACUUUGCCAGUGGAACUUUAUCAGACUUUGCACUUAGCUGAAACACAUGUGAGCCUUCUGCCGAUAUGCAGUGUUUCACAUGAUUAUAGCUGCUGCUGAAAUUCUUCAUUGCUCACUAGCUUCUAUGUAAAAUGCACUAAAAAUGGUGUGUGUAGACACUAGAGCCAAAAUCUGAAUAAUCGCCCAUAUUAUGCUGAUUGUGUUAUUUUUCUGACACCACAUUCUGAUUUUGUGACUCUUUCAUAUUGUAAUGGAUCACAUUUAACUACUGCUGGGGAAAUACUAGAGAUUUCCCUAAACCCUGACACAAUCUCUGGACCGAGCCAGCUAAUAAAAAAUGCAAGGGAGGCAGAGCAUCCCAGUAGCCUAUAACACAUCUUUCUAUGUGUUCUCAUGAGCUUAUUUUUCACUGUGUUCUUGUUGUUUUCUCUCACUUUGGUUUGUUUCAUGAUCAUUUUUCUUUUUAAUUUUGUUCAACAUCUUUUAUGAAAUGAAGGUGUAAAUGGUGUAUUUUACAUUUUCUCUCACAGCCCUCUGUGUCUUUGGUCCAUCCUGAGGUCUCUGCCAUCAAACAGAUGAAUUCUCUGUACCAUUUAACAUGGCUUGUUUAACUGGUAUUCAAACUAGCAAGUAGUGUCAACAAAGGGACACUGUGGAUCAGUGUGGAUUACUGAGUUUUACAAACUCUCGUGAUCUCUGAUUGGUGACAGUGGCAUGAGGUGAGGUCCGGAACAAGAAGUAAUCAGGUAAAUGGAGAGCUUUGCCUCGAGCCCCCAAAGCCAUGUGAUCAUGUGUUGUGAUAAACAAUUAGGGUAGUAUUGUGCUUACAUUUUUUUGCAUAUGUAGUUUUCUUUCCAGACCUAUUACAAGUCGUCACUCAGAUGCUUGAACAAUAAAACAUUCACCAACCAUCUGAGCGGUACUUUGUAGUUUUCUCCAUCAUCAAAACAGUUUAUACAUCACAUUAGAUGCAGAGAUCUAUUAUUAUCUUUUGGAUAAUCAGAUUUCUU